GACGAACGCUGGCGGCGUGCCUAAUACAUGCAAGUUGAGCGCUGAAGGUUGGUACUUGUCCCGACUGGAUGAGCAGCGAACGGGUGAGUAACGCGUGGGGAAUCUGCCUUUGAGCGGGGGACAACAUUUGGAAACGAAUGCUAAUACCGCAUAAAAACUUUAAACACAAGUUUUAAGUUUGAAAGAUGCAAUUGCAUCACUCAAAGAUGAUCCCGCGUUGUAUUAGCUAGUUGGUGAGGUAAAGGCUCACCAAGGCGAUGAUACAUAGCCGACCUGAGAGGGUGAUCGGCCACAUUGGGACUGAGACACGGCCCAAACUCCUACGGGAGGCAGCAGUAGGGAAUCUUCGGCAAUGGACGAAAGUCUGACCGAGCAACGCCGCGUGAGUGAAGAAGGUUUUCGGAUCGUAAAACUCUGUUGGUAGAGAAGAACGUUGGUGAGAGUGGAAAGCCCAUCAAGUGACGGUAACUACCCAGAAAGGGACGGCUAACUACGUG
rnacentral:rRNA from 1 species